GCGAAAGUAGCUCAGCUGGUAGAGUCCUUGCUUCCCAGGCAAGUCGUCGCCGGUUCGAAUCCGGUCUUUCGCU
rnacentral:tRNA from 1 species